UGAAAAGAACUUUGAAAAGAGAGUUAAAAAGUGCGUGAAACCGUUAGAGGGGAAACGGAUGCAGUUAGCAAUGCCUCAGCGAGAUUCAGGUGGACGCCUGGUCAGACGUGUAGUGUAUGGAUCCGCAUGGACUGUCGCUGUUCGGCCUGACCUUGUGAUCAUCGCACUUCUCGUUGGGGCGCGUCAACAGCUGCUCUGUCUGAGUGACAAGGCGUCCAGGAAGGUAGGCGCGUGCUUCGGCAUGUGCUGUUAUAGCCUGUGGCGAUACUAGCUCGGACGGGGCAGAGGCGAGCGGUGCAUGCUCUUCUUCGGAGGGGCUGGCGACCUUCUCUUGAUCUUGUGUCGACCAUGGCGGACUGCUUGCAGUGCGUCUGAACUGCUCGAGGUCAUUCGGGAGGCCAACGCACACUAUGCACCUCGGUUGUUGGCGGCCAUAUGGCUUCAUCUGACCCGUCUUGAAACACGGACCAAGGAGUCUAACAUGUGCGCAAGUCUUGGGGUGACUGAAACCCGAAGGCACAAUGAAAGUAAAGGCUGCCUAGCAGCUGAGGUGAGAUCUUCGUUCUACGCGUGCGAGGCGCAUCAUCGACCGACCUAUUCUACUCUUAGAAAGGUUUGAGUAAGAGCGGAUCUGUUGGGACC
rnacentral:rRNA from 1 species